rnacentral:rRNA from 1 species
UACGAAGGGGGCUAGCGUUGCUCGGAAUCACUGGGCGUAAAGGGUGCGUAGGCGGGUCUUUAAGUCAGGGGUGAAAUCCUGGAGCUCAACUCCAGAACUGCCUUUGAUACUGAGGAUCUUGAGUUCGGGAGAGGUGAGUGGAACUGCGAGUGUAGAGGUGAAAUUCGUAGAUAUUCGCAAGAACACCAGUGGCGAAGGCGACUUACUGGACACGUAUUGACGCUGAGGUGCGAAAGCGUGGGGAGCAAACAGG